rnacentral:misc_RNA from 1 species
UCUCCGUAGGUGAACCUGCGGAGGGAUCAUUACAGAGUUCAUGCCCUACCGGGUAGAUCUCCCACCCUAUGUUAUUAUUACUUUGUUGCUUUGGCGGGCCGUUAGGCUCCGGCCCGACUACCGGCCCCGGCUGGUAAGCGCCCGCCAGGGGACCCAAAACCCUGAAUAUUAGUUUCGUCUGAGUACUAUAUAAUAGUUAAAACUUUCAACAACGGAUCUCUUGGUUCUG